rnacentral:rRNA from 1 species
AACGAACGCUGGCGGCAUGCCUAACACAUGCAAGUCGAACGAGACCUUCGGGUCUAGUGGCGCACGGGUGCGUAACGCGUGGGAAUCUGCCCUUGGGUCCGGAAUAACUCAGAGAAAUUUGAGCUAAUACCGGAUGAUGACGUAAGUCCAAAGAUUUAUCGCCCAGGGAUGAGCCCGCGUAGGAUUAGCUAGUUGGUGAGGUAAAGGCUCACCAAGGCGACGAUCCUUAGCUGGUCUGAGAGGAUGAUCAGCCACACUGGGACUGAGACACGGCCCAGACUCCUACGGGAGGCAGCAGUGGGGAAGUAUUGGACAAUGGGCGAAAGCCUGAUCCAGCAAUGCCGCGUGAGUGAUGAAGGCCUUAGGGUUGUAAAGCUCUUUUACCCGGGAUGAUAAUGACAGUACCGGGAGAAUAAGCCCCGGCUAACUCCGUGCCAGCAGCCGCAGUAAC